GAUAUUAAUAACAUAUUACAUCAUUUGAUAUUGUAGUGUCCAUAAUCAAUUGGUGUAUACCAAAUGUACAUAAUAAAUUUACUCUUCAUCGUAUUCUGAUGGGAUAUAGUCUCUUUGGAUCAAUCUGCAUGAUCAGCUUAGGAAAUACAUGUACAAUAUCUCUUAAAACUGUCAAAAAAGAUUAAUGGUGAAAAAUGUAACAAUGUGUACAAAUUUUUGUGUGCUGUGUAUCCACAUUCUUAGACGAGGCAAAGAAUCGACUGAGAUUUGUUACGCCCCGGCAGUAAGUAAUUCUCUUGGGAGGUUCAGUGUAUCUUCCAACCUUCUAUGAACAUGGAGAGAGUAGCCCUCACUCUCUUUGCCAGACAUGACUGAGGAAACACCAACUAGGCCAGACAGGCUUACAGAUUGAUGACUGCCAGCUUUUGGAGAGGAUCUGUACUGGAGGCGGGUCACUCACCGUAGUCAACAAAGUUCUUCCAAAUUCAAAAUUGGAUAUACACUAAAUGCCUUCAAGACUGAAUCUGCCUUCAUCAAACUACAUGUAUUAUGUUUAUCUUGGAACAUGAUAUGAUUGGGAAUGCAACAACUUAGUUUGGUAUACUAGUGGCUCUGUCAUGAACGGCAAUUCAGUUUAUAACCUAAACUUGCAAGAAUAAUUUGAUUCAAAAGUUAUGAGGGAAUAAUUUAAAAUUAUUGUUUAAUAUGAUUAUUUGCAAUGUUGGUAAUUCUCCAAAUUACUGUAUCAACUUCAAUCUCUUUCCUGUUAUUCAUUGUCUCAGAAGAAAUGUAUUAUGGUAUCAACUCGAGGUGAGACAGGGCAAACCUAGUUGACCCAAUCUAUACUAUUAUAUGUAAAAAUAAUUGUUAAACUUUAAAAUUCACAAGGGCUAGAAAAGUAAGGUUAGAGGUGUAUUGCCAGCUGUAAAUAAAGAUCACAUAAAGCUGAUUUUUAAAUAACUUCGUAGCAAAUAUUAAACACUCACUACUGGUUAAAAUACCUAACAUUGUGAACUGUGUACUAAAGAUAACUAUCUUUAGAAAAGAUUUGAUAUAUACAAACUUACGCUAUUAAUGAAUUUGAAUGUACUCUUGACAACAUAAAAUUUGAGUGUAUCGACGGAUGAAAAAAAUUCACUAAGCUGAAUGGAUAUAUAUCAGUACUUUACAAUAAAUUUUGAGACAAAAUUAAAACUUGGGCAAAACAUCAUCAUUUUCAAAACAAAGCUUUACAGCUGUCAAUUAUUUGGAACAUUACUCAAUACACAGCUGCCCAGAGUAUAUUCACAGGAGAGAGUAGUAGUUUUGCCAAGAUCAUAAUAAAAUUCCAAUAUGUUAUAUAAUUGUUCAGUGAAUAACUAUAUUGUAAUUAAAUAUGUAUAACAAAUGAGAUAUCAAAAGAAUACUUGUAAUUGUAAAUGGGAUUUUCUUUAGAUAUUUUGAAUCACUCUCAUCUAUGGUUUUAAUUAAAUUUAGCCAUAAUAAAUUUCUUAUGGCUGUUGAAGAAGAGAUUUCUUUCACCUACACCUUUUUCAUUUUGUUCUUUAUUCAUUUUUAUGUACAAUGAAUGUACAAGGAAUAGUGUCACAUAAAACAAUUUAGUACUACACAAUUUUAUAAGUGAAAUUACGUUCAGUAGUUUACAUAUACUUCAAGGCAACAAAGACUUCAAGAAACAAAUAGACUUUUGCAGAAAUAGACAGAAAUUGCAAUCAACUUAGAAGGAUCUCAUAUGUUGUAUUGGGAGAAAUAUUAAUACAGCAAUUCUUAGCUCUAGUUUAAAAUUUUCAUUUGAUUUUAUUUGUUUUAAAUUAUUUUGUAACAUUCAUAAAAUUUAAGUCCUGUUUUACUUGUCUUUUUCUUAGCUAACUCUAAAUUGUAUUGAUUGUUUUCUACUAAAGUCCUUCCCCUUGUGUUGUAUACAUGCUUGUUUUAAACCUGGCAUACACUUUUUCACAAACAUAAUUAAUUGAAAAAUAUGCAGUCUAUAUAAGGUCAAAAUAUCUAAAUUUGUAAAAUGAGCUUUGGCAGAGUCCUUACUUUUUAGUUCUAAUAUGAUUCUAAUUUCUCUUUUUUAAGAAUCUUAUUUAAACUUUUUUGAUGUAACACCAUAUAAGGAAAUAUAAUUUAUAUUGAGUAAUGUUAUGUUAACUUGUUUUCUACUUUUCUGUUUCGUUCUUAGUCUGAUUUAUUUUUUUUAAUCAUAGUAUGACUUUUUAAUUUGUUGAGUCUUUUUCUAAAAUAUUUUAUGCAUGGCCUUGACUUUUAUGGAUAGUCAAUAGUCUUUAUUUACAAUUUUAUGGAGAAAUGUACAUGCGUCAAUCUACAUAAAGAGUGAUUAUUAGUCAGUCAGGAUAAUCUUGUCAAAUUUACAAUUUUGCUCUUUCCCUCUGUCAGUGAAUUACUGUAUUAUGCCAAAAUUGCCCCCCUCGCUUUUUACAAUUGUUCUAUAAAAGGCUGAAUUGAAAUUAAUUUUUAAUAUUUUAAAAAGUAUUUAAUGUUUUCUUGAGUAUUCACAAGGUAAAAUUGUGACCAGCUUUCCUUUCUUAUUAAUUCUUUAAUUUGUUCAAAUUUUGUUUAGAAUAUUUUAAUUUAAAACCAUAUAUGGAAAAGACAUGACUAAUCAGAAGGUUUUUUUUAACUCUUUAAAAUUUGUAUAUUUACAUUAUUUAUUUAUAUUUGUCUCAUGCAAUUAUAACAUUUUUACACUUUCCUAAAAAUAUUUCUUUUGAUAAAAUAAGUAUUUCUAAAUACUGAUGGUUCUUAAUUUUGGAAUCUACAUACCAACAAAAACCUAUAUCAGUACAAUUAUGUCUGGUUUUAUUCCUUCAAGGGCAAUUUCUAAUGGUUCUACUUGACUUGCCAGAUGUUGCAUGUUUUGGUGUAAUAUAUUAGUUUUAAAAUUUUGCUUUAAACUACGUUUUCUAAGCUGCUCUUUAUUGCUAGAUGUGAGGAGUUCAAAGUGCGGCUUUGAGAUAUUCUAACUAAAUCUGCAUUAGUCAUAUUCCUCCAGCAGCACUGUUGGUGAGCUAACACUUUGCACUGAAUCAAUAACCUCUACACUCAUAUUAUCCCCUGACACUUCUACAUCUGAGGAUUGGGCUGUCGCACACUCUGAGGAUGACCGGUCCUCCAAGGAGAUGGUCUGGGCUAUAUCAGAUGAGGAUCUUCGUAGGUCCAUCUCUUCAGAGGUACAUUUGCACAGUUGAACCGCAAAAUCAUUGUGUUUAAAUCCAUUGUGUAAUGUCCUCGUAGCUUUCUCGUCUUGCACAAUGAUGGCAACUGGUAUUACGAUGAAACUGUACAAUAUUUCUUGGGAACACUUGAGAUGAUUUGGUCUCUCAUGCAUCCCAUGGGGGAGCACACCAAGUUUUUUUUAAAACCCUUGAUUUUAAAAUCCAAAAUAAAGUUUUUGAAAGCCUUAUUGUAGUCAUCUUCCUUAUGUUUUGCAUGAUAAUUUUUCUUGGUCACAAGUUCAUAUACUGCAACACCACUUUACUGUGUUGAAGCGUAACAUCACUGUGCACAAUGUCCAAACUCUUUGUUCUGCCAAAUGCUUUCUUGAAAUCUAAAGCCAUCCCUCUACUCAUAUGGCUUUAAUUAGUAAAAUCUGCCAAAAUAAAGUGAGCAAAAGCGACAGCUACAUUGUCUUGAAAGUCUUCAAUUACUAGGAUACGAUUUGUCCUAGUGGUGAAGGAUAAUCAAUGCUAUUUCAUUGUUUCACUAUUGAGAUUUUUUCCACAUUUUUGGAUGAGGGGGGUGGAAGAUGAAUUUGAAGUUGAUAGGAUGGGUGCUAUGUCUUGCUUGGUACUGUCUGUAAUCCUUAAUAUUCCUUUACAAGAAAAUGUUCCCAUUCUUAUUAAUGUGUAACCCGUGUGUAGUAUGGUGACAUCUCUAGAGAAUAUACAAGUCUACAAGCUUGACAUGAGAGUGCUUAUAAUUGAGUUGCCUGAUGACUAGGUUCAUAUCCUUUAUUAAUUGGUUUUCAGGACUUUCAUUGUCUAAGUCAUACCUAAAGGGCAUGGCUGAUAUUAUAAGAUUUGUAUGUUUGAGGAAUUCUUGUUGCUUAUCCAGGUACACUUUGAUUAAUUGGGAAAGGAAUUAUUUCGGAUUUGCAAUAUUCUUCACUGUGAUAUUGUUGGUGCCUCCUACUAAGAUGAAAAAAAUCAGAUUUUGAACAUUCUUUUAAAUCUUUAGACUUUGUGAUGGAAUCCAUUAUAGGUCCCAAUGUAGCACCCGGAAGGCAAUGAUAAAAAACUUGAAAUAUGUAUAACAAAUGAGAUAUCAAAAGAAUACUUGUAAUUGUAAAUGGGAUUUUCUUUAGAUAUUUUGAAUCACUCUCAUCUAUGGUUUUAAUUAAAUUUAGCCAUAAUAAAUUUCUUAUGGCUGUUGAA